AUGAUACGAUAUUUGCUAAUUCUCUCUUCUAUUCUUCUGAAAUUCCAGGCUGAAUCGAGACCACAUCGAAACCCUAAGCCUCCUUCCCUAUUCUCCUUCAUUGGAAUUGGCUACGACAGAGUCACCAUGGUUACCACCAACCUUCCUCCAUUUCUCGGUCCGUCUCAAUAUCUCGAACACACCAGAAGAACCUUCAUCCGCGGUUUUAUCAGACACAGAUUAGAGCGGCCAAUCGAACUUAAGGAGGCUCCGAUUCGAGCGAACAAUGAGCAUUAA